rnacentral:rRNA from 1 species
GACGAACGCUGGCGGCGUGCUUAACACAUGCAAGUCGAACGGGGUAUGCAGGUGAGCUUGCUCACCAAUAUACCUAGUGGCGGACGGGUGCGUAACGCGUGAACAAUCUGUCCCUAUGAGGGGAAUAACAUCUGGAAACAGAUGCUAAUACCGCAUGGGACCACGGAGCCGCAUGGCCCUGAGGUCAGUGGGCUCCGGCCCGAAGAGGGGUGAGUUCGCGUAGGAUUAGCUAGUUGGUGGGGUAACGGCCCACCAAGGCAACGAUCAGUAGCCGAUCUGAGAGGGUGACCGGCCACACUGGAACUGAGAAACGGUCCAGACUCCUACGGGAGGCAGCAGUGGGGAAUAUUGCACAAUGGGCGCAAGCCUGAUGCAGCAACGCCGCGUGCGGGAUGACGGCCUUCGGGUUGUAAACCGCUUUUAGUAGGGAAGAAGCCUUCGGGUGACGGUACCUGCAGAAAAAGGACCGGUUAACUACGUGCCAGCAGCAGCCGCAGUAA